AGCACACAGGUCAAAAGACAGAUGAAUCACUGUGUUCAUCAGAUCCUCUGGGCCAUGGGGACUCUGAAAAAACAGCAAGGUUGAUUUCCCUCUGCUGGACAUGCCCUAGCUUUGGACUACUUUGUACUGACCACCCCAGCUGCACAACAGAAGACAUUGUCUGAUGUCUGUAGCAGAGAAUGCAGUACAUGUGGACAGAAAGGAGGGAAGAGGCGAAAAAGAAGAAGAAAGGAGCUUCCCCUUGCUUGCUUGCCUCAUGCAGAUGUCUCUUUAUGGAUGGCCUGCUUCUCCCCUUUGGUUUAGAGUCUGCUCUUAGAAAAGAUUGAAUAAAUGCAGCUUUGCACAUCUUUUUUUUGUCCUC
rnacentral:lncRNA from 1 species